GAAGCCGUAGGAUUCAUUGCAGAAACAGCCGAGAGAAACAGCUGGGGCCUUCUGGCUUGUUUUUCGAAGAGGCUCAGCUCCGAACGGGAGGGCGUGUUUAAGUCAAGGUUCUUGGGAUUCUUUCCAGAGGAGUUCCAUCUUUCUCAUAGAUUGGUGAGGGGGGAGAACUGCCUGGUAAAACCUCUGGGUCUCUUGGGACAAAGCACAGUGAGGAGCAGACCCCCAGCUUGAUCAGAGGCCUGAGAAUUUGUGACACCAACCACAUCAUUUCUUAGAAAUCACAUUUCUCCUUUGCAAGCCUUAUAAAUGUACACAACAAUGUAAAUAUACUUGCUACCCAACACUUAACCAGGUAUGUUCUUUUUUUUUUUUUUUUUUUGUCCUUUUAUAAAUUGAAGCAUCAUUGACAAGCAAUAGCCUAUGAAUUUCAGGGGUACAUCACAGCAAGUCACCAUUUUUCCACAUUAUGAAGUGACCCCCAGGAGAAGUCUCAUUGCCAUCGGUCCCAUCAUAUGUACUCUUUUGUGCGACAUUCUUUUUCCUCCAGUCCUCACUCGGGGCAGCUCCAAAUGUCUGCAAUUCCUAAAAAGAUUUUUGCAUGGUGGGGCACCCAGGCGUCCCCCCACCCCCUUUUCUUUGCUGAGACUAAGAAUCACCUGAGGGCCUUUUCAAAGUCUGGAUCCCCACGUGGCACUCUGCAUUAGUUAAACUGAAUGCCUGGGAAAGGGGAACCAGAGGCCCGUAGUGGAAACUACCAAGCCAAUGGAUAAGAGAAAAAAAAUCUUUUUGGCUUAAAAAUUUCUAGGAAGUACAAGAUAACUGUGCCAUUAAGAUAUUCU
rnacentral:lncRNA from 1 species